rnacentral:tRNA from 1 species
GGAGAGCCGGUGUGGUAUAGUGGUUAAGAUCGGUAGACUCAUAAUCUGGUGAACUGGGUUCGAUUCCCUGCUCCUCCA